GACGAACGCUGGCGGCGUGCUUAACACAUGCAAGUCGAACGAAGAGCGAUGGAAGCUUGCUUCUAUCAAUCUUAGUGGCGAACGGGUGAGUAAUGCGUAAUCAACCUGCCCUUCAGAGGGGGACAACAGUUGGAAACGACUGCUAAUACCGCAUACGAUCUAAUCUCGGCAUCGAGGAUAGAUGAACGGUGGCCGCUACAUGUAAGCUAUCACUGCAGGAGGGGAGUGCGGCUGAUUAGCUAGUUGGAGGGGUAACGGCCCACCAAGGCGAUGAUCAGUAGCCGGUCUGAGUGGAUGAACGGCCACAUUGGGACGGAGACACGGCCCAGACUCCUACGGGAGGCAGCAGGGGGGAAUCUUCCGCAAUGGACGAAAGUCUUACGGAGCAACGCCGCGUGAGGAAUGACGGCCUUCGGGUUGUAAAGCUCUGUUAAUCGGGACGAAAGGCCUUCUUGCGAAUAGGGAGAAGGAUUGACGGUACCGGAAUAGAAAGCCACGGCUAACUACGUG
rnacentral:rRNA from 1 species